rnacentral:misc_RNA from 1 species
UUGCCUCGUUCCUCCAUUACCGAUUAUGUAGGCUCAUUAUGUCACAGCGUCGAAUAUGAGUGCAUACCGGAUUCUGAGGUGGUGCAAAACUGCAGCCAUGUGGACACAGAUUAUGAACAAUUUUAUUUAAAGUUGUUCGGGGACAAAGACAAGUUUUAUUGUGAAAUAACGGGUAGAAUAUUAGGAAUGGAGAUAUUGCAGACAUACCAGACAGGAAUACGCAUAUCGUCCAACAACAUCCUGCUGUAUGAACACGAAAAGUUCAAUACCGGGGUGUAUGGCGAAAGUUUCUCGCUGCUAACCAACCAGUUGACUAUUGAAGUACAAAAUGCUGCAGUAUACAGCUACAUUUUGCUGAAAGUACAAUUAGGAACUUCUGACAGACAUGUUGUGGUCAGGCGAUACAGUCAUGAUGUGACAGCAGAAAGCACAAAAAAUGAAGACUUCAGAGACAAAUCUAACUUUUCUCCUUUGAUAUGGGUCAGUACGAUCAUCACUAUAAUGAUAUCACUUUUGAUGAUAUUAUCAAUUAUUCAACAACAGAGAUUAUUGAAGCGCAAGUCCACCGAGGUCCAUGUAAAAGCUGCAGACAAAACGUUUGUACUCAGGAGUUGUCAAGCAUACGGAGGUGACUUGAAAAUAGAAAUACACAAAGCAAAAUGUAUGUGUAAACGUGAAAAGCCAAGUAAACUACAUGUAGAGACUGAAAAACAUCCAUUGUACGAAAAUAGCGUUUCAUAUUUAACGGAAUCCCAAGAUCAACAGUGUUCAUCGUCUGUCAACUGUGAGCCACCUCAAGGAGAAGAGGAAUUGUACAUAGAUAUGCUGCCACGUGCUUAAAACAUUGUUGUAUACAAAUAGGGAUCGUUAUCGCUUGCAAAUACCCCACAACCGACACAAUUUCUUACCAAAAAUAUCAGUGUUACUAUUGGUCUAGCACAAAAUAAAAACCAUUUCUUGAACUGGUUAUAAAACCAAUCUGAUUGGUAUUGUGUAAUCUGUUUACUUCAUUUGGUUUCUUAGAAAAGAAAAAAAAGUAUGGGAAAACAGUAUUUGUUUGAUUCCGAUUUACAAGUAUUAAAUGACAUUAAAACGCUUUAUUUCGAUAUUAGUUUAACAUUUUGUCGUAUGUGGAAGAACUCCAACGGACCCUCAUCAGUUAAGCUACUUCUUCUCAGUUUUUCAUUUGCAUUCUUAGUUAAGGAAGCUUAUGUAGAUGCUUUUAUAUUUACUCGGUGGUUCGUUAAAAAUACAAAAUGGGCUCUUCUGUAAAGAAAGGACAUUAACAUUUUGGAAUAUAUGAACAUGGAAAUUUUUUGCUGUUUUUUUCUGUAUGUCGUUUGGUCUUUACCAUUAUCUUCGCAAAGUUGUUUUUUUUUUUGUAAACAUUAGUAAACAUAAAUUUGUAAAUUUGUAAACAUUUAUUCAAAGAAAAAAAAUUAGAAAAAAAGUAAGGAAUAAUUUAUGAUUUGAAUAGCAUGAUUUUUGUUUACAAAAUUUAACUUUGACGCAUACAUGUAAAUAAGAAGUUUUAUAGGCAUUCAGUUUGUAAUAGAGCAUUUUUUAUUACACAUUGAUUUUUUUUAAUUGGUUAAAACGUGACUCCCAAAUUUACCUCUAUGUCCGUGUAAUGAGAGUUAAAAAACAAUGAUUGAU